UGAAUGAGAUUCGGAGUAACAGCCCCGUCUGUAAAGCCUCCCAGCUGGUAUUCCUGAGGGAGGGGCUUUAGAGUGGAGCAGAGAGUGGCAGUUAAACUGUCUAACUGGGAGCUCAGUGAGUCAGAUAGGGACGGACAGGGCUAGAAAGAGUUUCUCUAGGGAGAUAGGCUCUGUUGAGGGGAGAUAGACUGGUGGGGUUCCAGAGAGGGACUGGGUAGGACAGGAUCGGUGUUUAUAGGAGCUGGAUAAUCCAGCUAUGACUACCUCAGUCACACGGCAUAUCUCUGUCCAUGCACAAUGUGCAGAGCAUCUGCCAGUGGGUGAAGUUUGUGUUGUCAUAGAACCUGACAUGAUAGCUUAUAUACUUUGUAGUCAAGCCAUGAUUUUGUUGUUAUAGAAACCAUUAUGCAUGUAAAGCCCUGCUUAAGCACAGGGAGAAACCUUUCAACUUCUUGUCCAUUAUUAAACUUGACUUUGUUUUAUUCUAAAGUUAAUUCAGUGUCCAGUGUAUUAUACCUUCUUCCCAUGCAGCCCUCAGCCAUACUACUAAGAGGUUGUCAGGACACAAACCUAAGCAAGAAGAGUGUUUUGGUGGCAGCGGAAGCUUGAUACAGGGAAGGAGCGAAGAACAUCAUUCUCAGUAAAACUGGUCCACUUAGUUACAAAGUUCUUAAUCCCUCUAGAUUUGGGAAGAGACCUCCCCCACUCACUAGCAGUGUCCCAGAGGAGAGCAGGUCUUGUGGUAGCAAGCCUGAAUUGUCCCCUUUGUUUAGCAGGGUCUGUCCAGGUUGCAUUUGAAUGGGAGACUAUAUGUUAGCACUGUAAGAAAUUCCCCUUAAGGGACGGGGCCGCUCUGGGAGGAGCACCUGCCUGCUUGCAUGCAGAAGGUCCCAGGUUCACUUCCUGGCAUUUCCAGAUAGGGCUGAGAGAGACUCCUGCUCACAAACUGGGAGAAGCUGCUGCCAGUCUGUGUAGACAGAACUGAGCUGGAUGGUCUGACUCAGUAUAUGGCAGCUACCUAUGUGCCUAUCACAGGCAGGGUAUGGCUCAUCACAGAAGCUUUUGCAACUUAUUUCAGAGGAUGUGAUGUAGAAUUCAUUCAAUGUGAAAUAGUGAAAUUGCCAAUCUCCUUGCUAAAAUAUAUAACUUAUCCCUGAAAUCAGGCUCUGUACCAGAGGACUGGACAGUAGCAAAUGUAACACUGAUUUUCAAAAAGGGAUACAGGGGCGAUCCCGGAAAUUACAGGCCGGUUAGCCUAAUGUCCAUUCCAUGUAAAUUGAUGGAAAGCCUCCUCAAGGAUAAAAUUGUAAAGCACAUAGAAGAACAGGCCCUGCUGGGAGUGAACCAGCAUGACUUCUGCAAAGCUAAUACGCUGACUUGCUAUUAUGGUCAUACUCCAGUCGAAGGUUCUGACAAUGGCUUCUGUGUAUCAGGCUCUUCACCAGGAUAUAGAAAUAAUGACAUAGUCGGAUUUCGAAGAGAAGAUUUUGAGAAAUGUAACACAAAACUAAGAUAUGCUGGCGACAGAUGGAGGUUUUCCUGCUGCACAACAGAUAGAUGUAAUCCUAUUAUAAAAGCUAAAAUAGAUUAUAAUAUCUAAAACCUAAAAUCUGCUAAUGGCAAGUGAGCCCGGCCUGUCAGUAACCUCAAGGCCUAACGUCCUGGAUGAAGCCUUUGGUAGAUUUAGCCCAGCUGCUUAUGUCUUGAGUGGAUGUCAGGCUGCUGAAAUAAAUGAAGAUGGAAUGAUAAACAAGCAUCCCAAAGCACAGUUUAUUUUUGAUUUAAUAUGCUUGUAUUACGGCACCUGCCACAGCUUCAUAGUUUCACGAGGAACCCAUGUAUGUCUUGGAGCAUUUCCUUCAAAUAUCUUGUUUUAUUGCUAAACACUGUACACAUGCAAAUGCUGAGGAAAGCCAAGAGUCCAAAAGAAUUGGGUGCUGCAGUAGAGGACUCCCACUCUGUUCCAUAUAAAGAGGGAAACUUGGAAUUGUACAUAAUGUUUUCGAGCAUUGUGUGGUGUCCCAAGCAUGCAGGCAACCACAGAUGUAUGGAUGGCAAAACAAAAGCGUCUAGUCACAGAAAGGAGCUCUCGGCAGGACCCCUUGGAAGCCCACAUGAGAGGGGCUUCUAUGACUUUGCCAGGAUCCCCAGCCAUGAAAAAGGAAGGCCCAGGGCCAGGUGAAGCUCGGGGAAGGAAGGAAGGAAGAAAUUGAAGGCAGGUACACAUGGGAGGCAUAAUUUGGAGGAAUUCCACAUCUGAGGUGGUGGGAGGUGGAGGUGGUAAGGAUUAGAAGAGGCUUUUGAGGCCUGACUUGGGCUUCCUGGAGAUAUUGGGAAGCCAGCAGGAGGAGAGCCCUGUGAGGCAAGGAGCAAGUUUCUGAGUGCCCUAAGCACAGGGUGAAGCAUCUACCUCGGUGGCAACCAGGGGUGGAACUGUA